CACACUAUAAUCAAUAUCCAAAUAUCUACAUUUAGAUACAGAUCCCUUACAUUCAUACUGUGAGUGCCAGAUGAAAGUUUGGGAUAUUUGGUUACCUGUUUUAGUAGUCUUAAUGCAACUAUCGCAAUUCGGUAUGUCUGUACUCCUACCUUCCUGAAAAAUCAUAAAAAUACUAAGACACAAUAAAACACAUUAUUCCUGAAAUCCUCAUUUUUCUUCAACCGUGCGAUGGCCUCUCAGCUUCCCGAUUGUGAGGGCUGCAAGGAUGUUGUUCUUCUGAUCCUCACUUUCCUUCACAGAGAUCCCU
rnacentral:lncRNA from 1 species